ACACAAAUAAAUAGAUAAAAUCUUCAAAAAAAAAAAAAAAAAAAAAAGGCCGACCUCAGGCAGCGGGGGGAAAAGAGCCCAGGAAGUUGAGAAAGUCCUUGGAGUGGGCCAGAGGGCUUAUGGGCAGUGGGGGGAGACGGAGGAGAAGAGGAAAGAACAGGAAACGGAAGGGAGAGGAUUGUGGUUGGAGAAAUGCAAAGGGACACAAAACAAAGAAGUGGGAACUUAGGGAAAAAAAUUAGGGAGCGUGGGUUAGGGUUAGGGUUAGUUUGUGGGAUGGCAGCGGGGUGCGGUGGGGAAGCUGAGUAUGUGUAGUUUGCUUUCUUCUGAGUAACUUGUGCUGACCGAGUUUUGAGGUCGCUGGGGUUCACCUCGCCCCAUCCCGGGGCAGUUAUUACUGCCCGGUAAGGCAAACAUCAGAAGCUCCUGCAGAGGUCACUAGAAGCCCAGAAAGGCAAAAGGCGGAAGCAUGGUCAUUACUCACUACCAGGGCUAGAGAAAUCAUCCUCGGGCCCCACGUUGGGCACCCCGGAAGGCCCCUUCUUCUGGACCCACUUGGCCCCAGAAGCUGUUGGGAUCCAGCUCCAGCCACAGAGAUCGUUUGGAACGUCGAAACUGCACAUCUGCAUCAUGCAGACUGAGGGGCAGAAGAGGGAGAAGGGAGGAUUUAGCUUUUUCUAGGAGGAGGCAGCUCCAAAAAGUACGCCGCAGCCUGGGGUCAGAAUUCUUGAGUGUCAGUCUGUGGCCUACUGCCCGCCAUGGGAGGCUUAAUUCCUGGGACAGAUUGGUUAAGCUGCCUGUUAGUUUCUUCAUUUGUAACUGGGAACAGCAGUACCCGCCUGUCGUAAAUUAGAUCAUAAGUGAGGAGCCGCUAGCAUAAUCCUGUCCUCAGUAAGGGUUAUUUCCUUGCACUCAGCUUCUGGAAUUUACCUUCACUUGAAUUUGCUCCCCUGGAGUCUCUAAUGUCAAGGGCUGAUUGUGGGUGAAAUUGGGGUAAUAGCUAGGGUGACCAGACAUCCAGUUGGGGCCGGGAACGGAGGAUUUCCCGAGAUGCAGGACUUUCAGGGCAAAAAGAGGGGCAGCCCAGGGCAAAGUGGAAUGGUUGGUCACUCGAGAAGAGGUAUCACUACAACCCUAUUAAAAGAGAACCUCUCUUUCAGUGUGGCUGCUUCAGGAUUCAAAGGUGUGAGAUGUGGAGGCAGAGGGAAGCAAGGAGCCCCAACUCCGAGAGAAAGCAGGGUCGUGGUCCCUGAGCUAUUUCUGCCACCCUCGGCAGGUGGUGGAGGCAGAGAGAGGAAGAGGGACUGGGGCUUACUGUGAUUACAGGAGCCCCGAUGGAUAGAGAUUGCAUCCAGAGAGAUGUCCAGGCCACUCGGGCAGCCUGGGCAGAUGGGGACCAGAGGGGAGGCCUGGCUGGAGCUGGGGGGACAGAAGAGGCUGUCAAGGUAAGCAGUCUGAAAAGAAGUCAAGGAAUAAGGUGCAAAAAAGAGGUAUUUGCCCUCCAGCUUGGCCUGGCAUCACCGUUCAGCAGGGCACUGAGGUGAGUUUUGGUGUCUCCCCAGCAAGGCUCUGUCCCCAAGUUUAAGCUGAUUUCCUCCGACUUCCUCCUGCUUCGGGGCCUCAGGCUGGCCCUAUGACAUCCUUAGAUCUGGACAGUCCUUCUGGCCCUUGAGAUGUCACCCCUGGCCGUGGAGUGUCCGUGGGACAGGCUAGUGCUGAGCUGCUCACCCCUCGACAGGGGUCAGGAGUGGGGGUGCAGAGGCGUGGCACAGACAGCAGUGGUAAGUGAGGUGGUGGAUGUGUCCAGGGUGGGAGCACCUGGUCACCUGUCCCCUCUCCUGCAGGCCUCCCCUGUGUACAGCGUCAGCUUGCCCCGCAGGAAAUUGGAGUAGAUUCGGAAAAGUUUGCACAAAGUAUCAACAGUGAAUGUUCGGAGUGGAGCAGCAGAAGCUUCCUCUGGAAGGGAGCUGGCCUCCUUCUGCCAAGGAGACAACAGAAAGUUACAGCAGUUGGGGGAAGGGGGGGACCCUGGAGGUGAGGUGUGAGGGAGGCUCCUACCCACCUGGGCUCCCAGCGCCCGCAGCAGGGAGGUGAGGCUGCGUAGGCUACUGACGGCUUUGUCCACAUGCAGCUGUAGGGUCUCAGAUGGCUGCGAGGCGUUGGCCAACAGGGCCUGGCCCCGCAGGAUGGCUUCCGAGAGCAGAGCCAGGCCCUGCCAGACUUCCACGGCCUGCUGCCCGACCUAAAGCAAAUGGAGACUUGGAGUCAGCAGCCCAAGCCCGCCCCUCCCUCUCAGCAGCCCCAAGCACCAGCCUGAACAAAGUGAAGGCUUAGAAUCAGUUUUGUUGAACGAAUGAAUGAAUGAAUGAAUGAACAAGAACAAACAAAGGAACAUAAUGUGUUCAGCCUUCAUUUUCUAUCGCUCUCCCUCCCACCCCAUCAGGUUCCCACAAAGAGACUCCCCAUGAAGAAGGAAAAAAUAAACUCACGUCCAUCCUCUUCCAGGUGUAGAAAUUAACCUUGGUGUCUGGGACGGUGAUAUUCUCACUGAAGCUGCAGCCUUGAGCACAGCCCAUCUGAAAUGCACCCCCAGGGGUGGGGUAGGGUGGGUCAGGCUCCCCAAAAGCUCCGUCCACCUUUGGCCCUUACCUAGCUUCCAGGUGAGCACUGGGGACAACCACUUGUAUCACUUCCACUGGGGGCUCUGACUUCCCACCUUCUCCACCCCUGAACCAAGUACCAGGAAGGGGACUCCAGUUCCUGGAUCCUGGAGGGCACCCUUGGACUCCUGCGAGUGAGUUCUGUGGAAUGUCCUGAGGAGGGGGCCUCACCGUGACAUUUUCUGCCUCCCGGGCCUCCAGGAUAUAUCUCUCCAGGACUCGGCUGUCACAAAUGAGGCGAGGGGGGGCGCCCAGGACUGGGAGGCCCAGAGGAAGCAGCAGCAAAGACAGCAGAAGCAACAGGGCAGGACAUUCUAGAAAAGAGUGCCAGGCUGAGCGUAUGGCUCUGGAGCGGCAGGUUCACACAUCCUGCUCCACUGCCCCCAGCGAGGCGCUCCGGACCCCCCACCUUCCCAGCGCUGGAGUUCUGCCUCCUCUGCCUUCAUUCAAUCCGCUGCGGCACACACCCUCCCCCCUAAACUACCGGCAUCCACUUCUCCCGGACAAACUUCGAUCCCGCUGUGGCAGAGGCUUCCCUUUUCGCAGAUCCCGGUGAUUGCUCCAAGACCCAGGUAUCCGCUUUGCCCCUCGCACGUAGCGGCCCCUCUUCUCCCCGAACCCCCCAACCGCGCCCCCUUGUCCAGGUCGGAUUUCACCUUUCACAGGGGCUCCUUAAGCCCUGCCGGCACGUGGAGGCUGCCCCAUCCCCCUUGCCCUUCCGGGGUCCUUGGCAAGUUGUCGGUCCUUGAACCCAGUCACCUCCGGGCCACUAGCCCCAGCGGUAAAUUCCUGCUCAAACAGGGGCCCGGGCGGGCGGGGGCUCCUCUGGCCGGCGAGUACUCACCGCACACCCCCAUCUCCGCGCCUCCCCCGGCCCCUCAGCGACCAGGGGCUCGGCCGGCGCCCUUGCCGGGAGCCCUCAUCCUGGGAAUCGCGGUGGGGCAGGGCCGUCCGUCCCCACGGCCCGAAGUAGGGGGCCGCCGUCCAGGGGCCGCCGAGCCGGGGUCGCACGGAGCGAACGCAAGGCUCUCGGCCAGGGUCCGCGAGGAGUGGCGCGCGGCGACCGGCCGGGGUUGGCCCGGGGACUGCGGCUCGGCCGGGGGUCGGGGCUGUUAUCAGCAUGUGUGCGUGCGUGUGUGGGGGUGGGGGGCAGGCUGUGUGCGUGAGGGGUCGCCAGAGGUAAGGGCCAGAGGGGUCAGACCGGGGCAGGACGCCUGGGUCGGGGGCUCGCCGGGGUGGGAGGAGAGCGGCCGCAGGAGCGGAGCGGGGCACCGGUGUGCCCCGCCGACCCCGGGUUCUGGGAGGCGCGACUGGGUGCGCACCGGCGGGAGGUGCGCAUUCCCAUUCCGGGAAAGGCUGGGGACCUCGUGGCUCCCCCAAUCCCGGGGUGGGGGUGUGGUUGGGGGGGGGCGGGUUGGCACGUCCCAGUCUUGGGCGGGGGUUCAGAGCUGGGAACGCCGGUUCCUGGCAGAGGCAAGCUGCCUUCCUUCUCACAAUUCCAGUACAUGUUCUAGAAGCCAGUAUUGUUCAUGUUGAGGAAUUUGAUGGGGGCACACGGAGUAAGAAAUGUGGGGGUCUUCUGUCCCCCACUCUUCACUUUUCUAGGACUCUGAGAACCCAGAACUUGAACUUUGAGGGCACUGGGCACAUGGUCUGUUGUGCAGGACACGUGUGCACUUUGACAUCCUUUUUGGUCUUUGUUGUUUGGGGUUUUGACCUGUGAUAUAGGUUAGCCCGCGUGGCGAAAUUCGUUAGAACUCUGAAACAGGGCUGUUCCCCAGACUGAUGGUGGCUGAGAUUUGCAGCUAAGCCUCAGGGGCUUCUAGGAAGCAGGGGGCCAAGCCCCCUAGAGCAGGAGUCGGUGGGCUGGCCUCUCACACCUUGGAAAGUGGUCUCAGUCCUGAUCCUCAGUGCCCUGACCUGUCAAAGCAGGGUGUGUGAUGAGGUCUCAGUUCCAAAGUCCUACAAAUACAGGUAGUUAUGUAUCUUCCCUGGCUUCCUUCCCAGUUCCGUGACCUGACAUGAAAGAUAUUUUAUUCACAGGAUCAGUGCCUUCUUUGUGCAAGUCAGGUGACUACAAACUUUGCAAGACAAAAAAGAUGUGUUUGAGAGCUAGCUCCCGCCUCCUGGAGUUUGUAGCUUACAACAGAGAUAAGAUGGGUACACAGGGCAGUGUGUGAGGACCGGAGCGUUCAGAGCCUAGCGGGAAGGGUUUGGAAGAGGCAGAGCUCAUUGUUAGCUAGGGGAGUCGAUGAAUAUUUGAUGCAGAGGGUGACAUGAGCUCAGCCUUGAAUGGCCCCCAGCAUUUCAGUAGGAAGAGAUGUGAAGUGGAAAUGAAGCCAGUUCAGCAAGGGAAAGGGGGGAGGGCUCAGGUGUGUCAGGAUGGAGGGUGUGGACUACAAAGGUGGCAGACACUAGGCCAGAGGGCUGGUUAGAGAGUGGUCAGGUUGUGAAGGGCCUUGAAUGCCGCGCUUAAGAAUUUGGAUUUGGGGCACCUGGGUGGCUCACUUGGUUGAGCAUCCGGCUCUUGGUUUCAGCAGGUCGUGAUCUCAUGGGUCAUGCAAUAGAGCCCUUCAUGGGCCCCACGCUCAGCGGGGAAUUUGCUGGAAAGAUUCUCUCCCUCUGGCCCACCCCACCAUGUGUGCAGCCA